UACGUAGGGGGCAAGCGUUGUCCGGAAUCAUUGGGCGUAAAGAGCGUGUAGGCGGCUCGGUAAGUCCGCUGUGAAAGUCCAGGGCUCAACCCUGGAAUGCCGGUGGAAACUGUCAAGCUUGAGUCCGGAAGAGGCGAGUGGAAUUCCUGGUGUAGCGGUGAAAUGCGCAGAUAUCAGGAGGAACACCAAUGGCGAAGGCAGCUCGCUGGGACGGUACUGACGCUGAGACGCGAAAGCGUGGGGAGCAAACAGG
rnacentral:rRNA from 1 species